CUGGGCUACACCCGGGAAGGCAGGAUGGAGCCUCUAAGAGUCACCCAAACGUUUCAGCCCCAGGCCUGCUGGCCCUGGCUGGUGGGCCUUCCCGCCUCACAGCUGCCCUCCCCCGAAGACACCGCAAAGGUGUGAAAAAGUCCAGCAUGAACUCAGACAGGACACAGACCAGGACCAGAGCCUCAUGUAGACAGAGCUGCUGCAGAAGGAGCAAUGAGCAUGCCUGCACCCUUGAGAGACCUGAGGAGGAUGAAGGAAAAUACGGACAACUUGAAUCCAUGACAGUCUUCAGUCUAGGAUCAAGGCCUCCUCACAAAAGCCAUCUCCUUGUAGCUGAGAACUCAACAGACUGUCUGGAAUCAGUUGCGGCAUCACAGUCCUGUAACACCAGAACUCCCAGGCAGAGAUGGAUGUCUGCAAGUGCCAGGUGGCUUGGUCUACACAGUGUGAAAAAGUCCAGCAUGAACUCAGACAGGGAGACCUGAGGAGGAUGAAGGAAAAUACGGACAACUUGAAUCCAUGACAGUCUUCAGUCUAGGAUCAAGGCCUCCUCACAAAAGCCAUCUCCUUGUAGAUGAGAACUCAACGGGCAGCCACUUGACCGUCAACAACAACAACAACAACAACAACAACAAUAAUAAAGACUGUGGAUGUUGCUGCUGAUCUUGUGCACUGUGGAUUCAGAUGCUGAGUUCUGUACCCCAAGAUCAAGUUGCAGUCUGGACAUGGGUGUGCUGUCCCAGUCCUGUAACCUCAUAAUGCACAAGCAAGUUCCAGGCACUUUGGCCUACACCGUGAGUUCUCAGCCAGGGAUGUCAGUGCUCUGCAGCCGGGGAUGUCAGUGCUCCGCAGCCGGGGAUGUCAGUGCUCCGCAGCCGGGGAUGUCAGUGCUCCGCAGCCGGGGAUGUCAGUGCUCCGCAGCCGGGGAUGUCAGUGCUCUGCAGCCGGGGAUGUCAGUGCUCCGCAGCCAAGGAUGUCAGUGCUCCGCAGCCGGGGAUGUCAGUGCUCCGCAGCCAGGGAUGUCAGUGUGCCACAGGGGAUGGGGUCCUGGAAGUACAUAGCACCACCGGCUCUGUGGAUGCCCACUUCAUGGUGGGAACACUUUCUAUAUUGCAUCCUUGAGGUCAUAUGUUUAGCUGCCACUAUAAUACAGUCCUGUUUGCAGAUGCCUGUGAAUGAUCAUGCAGACCAAAUUAAUGAGAAACACAACCUUACUGCCGUAACAAUUUAGGAAAUGAAACCAUUCAAAAUAAAUCACAAAACCCAGAGCCUUCUGCCUCCAGUUUUCUAGAAAAUAGCACCAGUGAUAACCACACUGCACAGAUAAUGACCUCCAAGACAGGCUGGGUCAUAUUUUUGUUGUGGUGGUCGUGGUGGUGGUAGUUGUGGUUUUUGAUGUUGUUGGCCUUGACUAUGCAUUUGGUGCCAUCAACCCUUUUUUUUCAUCCAAGUUUUAUUUUUUUCAUUUCUAUGUACAGGUAUUUUGUCUACUGGAUACAUGUGCACCACGUGCAUGCAGUUCCAUCAGGGACCAGAAGAGGGCAACAGAUUCCAUGUGGACUGAGUUACAGAGGACUGUUAGCUGCUCCUUGGGUCCUCUGGGAGAAAAACAAAUCUUCUGAAGGGAUGAGCCAUCUCUCCAGUCCCUACACUUGACUUUGUCCUUAUAGCUGUGUGUGCCCAUUAGUUAGACUGAAUCCCCCACAAGAGAGAGAAGUGUUUGGAGACCUAGAAGGACGAGUGCAUGAGGUAAGCAUACUGGUUGUCUUAGGCUGCCAAGUACCCAUAUAGGGCAUUUGUGUGUUCAAGAUCUAAGUAGGAUCAUGGCUGCGGCAACCUCUGGAGGACGAUGUGGGAAUCACAGCCCUAGCACCCUGUGUGAAAUUUGCCCAUGGUCCCAAAGUUCUGCAGCUUCUAGUCAAAGGUUAGUGUCAACGGAGGAAGUCCUAGGAGGUAUCUGGAAACUGUGGUCCGGGCCCUCAUCACUAGCUUCAGGAGGACCUGUAUCUUUCUUACGUAUUUAUUUGUGUGUGAUGCUGGGCCCUGAACCCAGAGCUCCACCCACGCUAGGUCAACUUCCUAUCACUAACCAGGUGCCCAGCCCAAGAACUGGGUUUAUAUAUGUGGAUGCAGAUAUACAUGGCUUGCAUUUCUUUAUUUUUCUUUCCCUCUUUCACACAUCUAUAUAUACAUAUAUUACUAAUGACUGAAAAGAAAUGCCACACUAUGUCCCCUCUCCCUCUUAUUUGGACCCCUUUCUCCCUCUACAUUGUCACUUUUCUGCUUUCACAUCUCAUAUGCACUUCUAUACACCUAUCUAUAUACAUAAUAUAUAUAUGUAUAUAUAUGCACACACAUACACAUGGAGAUAUAUAUAUAUAUUUUGAAUUUAUUUAUGGAAGAUUACUCACUUCUGUGAUUAGCGUGUAUGUGGAGGUCAGAAGACAACUUGUAGGAGUUGGUUCUCUCCUUCCACUUUGCAGGUCCCAAGGGUAGAACUCAGGAGGUCAGGCUUAGCUACAAGCACCUUUACCUGCUGAGCCAUUUCACAGGCCCCAUAUUAAAUUUAGAUUCCAGAAAACAAACAGUAGCAAGUGCUGGUGGUACAGGGAAAGCGGGACUCUUAUCCACUGUUGGCAGAAAUAGAAGCUAGUGCCACUGUUUUGAAAAUCAAUGUAGAGGCUUUUCAAAAACUAAAAAUACAGCAUGACCCAGCUAUACCAAACUCUUUGGCAUAUACACAUUCAUGUAAUAAACAGUAAGUUGCUCUUUCUGCUGUCAUUCCUGGGAUAUCCACCGGCAAGACAGCAAUAUCCAUGUGCUAGUAAAGGGGACAGAGACAAAUCACUUCAGAGACAGUUUCAGAGGACAGCACUUACUGUAUUGCAUGUGAGCAACCUCUUAUAUAGUGGAAACCUGUGAUUGGUUAGCACAUUACCUCGGAUUGAAUACUGAGUGUUCAUACCGCCACUCUAGGCAGAAGAGGCUCAUUAAAGCAGACUUGGAGAGCAUCGCAGAGUCCUCAGCAGGCCAGCUGCUUCAAGAUUCUAUAUGCUGCCUUCAGGAACAUGGUGCGCCAUGCUUAUUUAGAAGCCCAGGGUGCUAGGUAGGCUGGUCACCAGGUCACGCCAGCAUUCUCUCCAACACUUUUCACAGGAACAAGGAAAAAGAGUUGAUCUGCUUGCCCAUCAAUAAAUGGAUAAUGAAAAUGUGGUGCACACACAGUAGAAUUAUAUUCAGCUGGGAAAGAAAGUAAAAUUUGCAAAAUAAAAAAGGAACUAAUAAACACU
ensembl:lincRNA 4933413J09Rik RIKEN cDNA 4933413J09 gene